CAAUAGCGUAUAUUAAAGUUGUUGCGGUUAAAAAGCUCGUAGUUGGAUUUCUGCUGAGAACGACCGGUCCGCCUUUUGGGUGUGUAUCUGGCUCUUUCUUGGCAUCUUCUUGGUGAACGUUGCUGCACUUGACUGUGUGGAGCGCUACCCAGGACUUUUACUUUGAGGAAAUUAGAGUGUUUCAAGCAGGCAUACGCCUUGAAUACAUUAGCAUGGAAUAAUAGGAUAGGACCUCGGUUCUAUUUUGUUGGUUUUGAGAGCUGGGGCAGCGAUUGAUAGGGACGGAUGGGGGCGUCCGAACUUUACUGUCAGAGGUGAAAUUCUUAGAUCGGUCAAAGGCGAACUACUGCGAACGCAUUCGCCAAGAAUGUUUNCUUUAA
rnacentral:rRNA from 1 species